rnacentral:rRNA from 1 species
AUGGUGCGGCAGCUGCCGGCGUGCAAGCACCUCUUCCAUGUCGAGUGCAUAGACAAGUGGCUGCACUCGCACACGACUUGCCCUGUUUGCAGGUGCGACCUCUCGCCACCGCGGACGGUUACUGCCAAAGUGGCGGCUGUAGAGAUGGAACCGCCGGCAGAUGAUGCUUUGCCGCCAGUGUAG